GAGGGUAUAGCUCAAGUGGUAGAGCCCAUGCUUAGCAUGGGAGGUCCUGGGUUCAAUUCCCAGUACCUCCU
rnacentral:tRNA from 1 species